rnacentral:lncRNA from 1 species
CCGUAGCAAGCACAGGAGCGGUUUGAUUGGCGAAACAUCGGAGAGGUCCUUGCCCUGCAGUGGGCGUGGUCAGGCUGACGAUGAUAAUUUGCCUUGCACGUUACGUC